rnacentral:rRNA from 1 species
GAGUUUGAUCUUGGCUCAGGAUGAACGCCGGCGGUGUGCCUAAUACACGCAAGUCGUACGCACUGGCCCAACUGAUUGAUGGUGCUUGCACCUGAUUGACGAUGGAUCACCAGUGAGUGGCGGACGGGUGAGUAACACGUAGGUAACCUGCCCCGGAGCGGGGGAUAACAUUUGGAAACAGAUGCUAAUACCGCAUAACAACAAAAGCCACAUGGCUUUUAGUUAAAGAUGGCUUUGGCUAUCACUCUGGAUGGACCUGCGUGCAUUAGCUAGUGUAGUACGCUUACCAGCAUGAUGCAUAGCCGAGUUGAGAGACUGAUCGG